GACGUAGGGGCGAGCGUUGGUCCGGAUUAUUGGCGUAAAGCGCGCGUAGGCGGCCCGUUAAGUCGGAUGUGAAAACCCGUGGCUCAACCACGGGCCUGCAUCCGAUACUGGCGGCUCGAGGCAGGCAGGGGAGAUCGGAAGUUCCGUGGUGUAGCGGUGAAUGACGCAGAUAUCAGGAGGAACACCGGUGGCGAAGGCGGAUCUCUGGGCCUGUCCUGACGCUCAGGCGCGAAAGCUAGGGGAGCAAACAGG
rnacentral:rRNA from 1 species